rnacentral:rRNA from 1 species
UACGUAGGGGGCAAGCGUUGUCCAGAUUUAUUGGGCGUAAAGAGCGUGUAGGCGGCCAUACAGGUCCGUUGUGAAAACUGGAGGCUUAACCUCCAGACGUCGAUGGAAACCGUAUGGCUAGAGUCCGGAAGAGGAGAGUGGAAUUCCUGGUGUAGCGGUGAAAUGCGCAGAUAUCAGGAAGAACACCCGUGGCGAAGGCGGCUCUCUGGGACGGUACUGACGCUGAGACGCGAAAGCGUGGGGAGCAAACAGG